rnacentral:rRNA from 1 species
CCUGGCUCAGGAUGAACGCUAGCGGCAGGCCUAACACAUGCAAGUCGAGGGGUAACGGGGUAGCUUGCUACCGCCGACGACGGCGCACGGGUGCGUAACGCGUAUACAUCUGCCUUUACUAAGGAAUAGCCCAUGGAAACGUGGAUUAAUGCCUUAUGGUAUGCUUACCUCGCAUGAGCGUAAGUAUUAAAGGUUACGGUAAAGGAUGAGUAUGCGUCCUAUUAGCUAUUAUGUAGGGUAACGGCCUACAUAGGCGAUGAUAGGUAGGGGUUCUGAGAGGGAGAUCCCCCACACUGGUACUGAGACACGGACCAGACUCCUACGGGAGGCAGCAGUGAGGAAUAUUGGACAAUGGGAGCAAUCCUGAUCCAGCCAUGCCGCGUGCAGGAAGACGGUCCUAUGGAUUGUAAACUGCUUUUAUACAGGAAGAAAAAGCCCGACGAGUCGGGUGUUGACGGUACUGUAUGAAUAAGGAUCGGCUAACUCCGUGCCAGCAGCCGCGGUAAUACGGAGGAUCCGAGCGUUAUCCGGAAUUAUUGGGUUUAAAGGGUCCGUAGGCGGGAUAAUAAGUCAGUGGUGAAAGUUUGUGGCUCAACCAUAAAAUUGCCAUUGAUACUGUUAUUCUUGAGUAAUUGUGAAGUGGUUAGAAUGUGUAGUGUAGCGGUGAAAUGCAUAGAUAUUACACAGAAUACCAAUUGCGAAGGCGGAUCACUAACAAUUAACUGACGCUGAUGGACGAAAGCGUAGGUAGCGAACAGGAUUAGAUACCCUGGUAGUCUACGC